UGUGAGCUCAGUACAACUUUAGGCUGCCUGUCUGCUGAUGGGUGGGGCUAUGUCUCCCCCCGACGAGUGCUGGUUGUUUGGCCUGAGGCCUCCCAGCACUAGAGCCUACAGGCUGUAGGGUGGGGCCACUUCUUGGUGCCAAAAUGGCGACCUCUGGGAGAGCUCACGCCAAUCAAUAUUCCCUGGGUCCUUCACCACAGGUGUCCACCACAGGCACAGAGAGAGCCACAAUCAACCCCCACCUCUUCAGGAGACCCUCCAAUACCCACAGGGGUGGGGUCUCAGCCAACAACCUAGAAUGGUAGAGGGAAAAUUUUUUUUCCUCACUGACAGUUUGGCGACCCAUGAUGGGAUCUGCUGAAACACUGUACUUCUUCUGGAGCCUGAAGAUAGGAACCUGGAAAACUGGCAGAAGCCAGCAAAGGACAUGCCUCUUAUUAAAUACCCAAUUGCUUGCACCGUAUAAGGCUAACUUUGGGACCCCACCUGCAACACCAGCUCCUGAAAUGAGACCCAACUGUUUAACUGAGCUGACCUAUCCUUGCGAUUAAGAGACAAAAGCACCAUUUUCACUGCUCUGAAGAAAGAAGAACACAGAAACCAGAUGUCCUACAUGUGUGUUUCACUCAGUAAUUCCCAGGGUGACAGUGGAAGGAGCUGCUUUUGAAGUGUCGCCUUGCUGGCUUCACACUUGGAUCCCCGGCCGCCUGGGUGACAGUCCCUGUCGAGCCCAGCAAGCCCCUCUGGCUGGAAUCCAGGGCCCAGUGGGCAGCCCCAUUCUCCACCAGGUCCUCACAGCGGGAGCCCCUACACCAUUAACCACCCAGCACUGCAGGGCCCAGAGCCUUCUCACUGACUAGGGGAGACUUUCCCUAGUCAGAAGCCAGAGUUCCUGUUCUUUCAUCAGAUACUUAAUCAUUUUUGUUAAAACCUUUAUUCAUUAACAUAUUCUAGAUAAUAAAAGCCUAAUUUAAUACUAUUUCAAGUGUCUACUAUCAUAUGCA